AGAACGAACGCUGGCGGCAUGCCUAAUACAUGCAAGUCGAACGAAGGCUUCGGCCUUAGUGGCGCACGGGUGCGUAACGCGUGGGAAUCUGCCCCUUGGUUCGGAAUAACAGUUGGAAAUGACUGCUAAUACCGGAUGAUGACGAAAGUCCAAAGAUUUAUCGCCAAGGGAUGAGCCCGCGUAGGAUUAGCUAGUUGGUGAGGUAAAGGCUCACCAAGGCGACGAUCCUUAGCUGGUCUGAGAGGAUGAUCAGCCACACUGGGACUGAGACACGGCCCAGACUCCUACGGGAGGCAGCAGUAGGGAAUAUUGGACAAUGGGCGAAAGCCUGAUCCAGCAAUGCCGCGUGAGUGAUGAAGGCCUUAGGGUUGUAAAGCUCUUUUACCCGAGAUGAUAAUGACAGUAUCGGAGAAUAAGCCCGGACUAACUCCGCGCCAGCAGCCGC
rnacentral:rRNA from 1 species